UAUCUCUGUAGAGUCUGCAUAUCAAUAAGCGGAGGAAAAGAAACUAACAUAGGAUUCCCUCAGUAACGGCGAGUGAAGCGGGAAGAGCUCAAAUUUGAAAUCUUCAAGGUUCUACCUUGACGAAUUGUAGUUUAAAGAAGUGUUUUCUGUUGGAUGUUUUGGUAAAAGUUCUUUGGAAUAGGACAUCAUAGAGGGUGAGAAUCCCGUAUUUGACCAUUACUUUCCAGCUUUGUGAUACACUUUCAAAGAGUCGGAUUGUUUGGGAAUGCAGUCCAAAAUGGGUGGUAAAUUUCAUCUAAAGCUAAAUACUUGGCGAGAGACCGAUAGCGAACAAGUACCGUGAGGGAAAGAUGAAAAGAACUUUGAAAAGAGAGUUAAACAGUACGUGAAAUUGUCAAAAGGGAAGCGUUUGACACCAGUGUUGUUUUCUCGAAAAUCAAUUAAAAAAGGCAGGAUUUUGUGUUGUAUUGACUUUAUCAGCUUUCUGCACUCUUUUCUUGUCUUUUUUAAUGCACUUUUCGUUUAACAAGUCAACAUCAAUUUCUUUUGUUGCAAAAGGGUCAUUGGAAGGUGGCUUUCUUUUCGGAGAAAGUGUUUAUAGCCUUUGGCCUCUGCAAUCGGAGAGAUUGAGGUCUGCAGCGUAGAUCCUUCGGGGUUAGAUACAUUUGUGCUAAGUUAUAGCCUUUCAUAGACAACUUGUUGACUAUGAUCAGUCAUGUAGCUUACUCGCUUAUGCUAUUUUACCUACGCUUAGGAUGUUGACGAUCAGCUGAGCGCG
rnacentral:rRNA from 1 species